AUACGGAGGGUGCAAGCGUUGUUCGGAAUUACUGGGCGUAAAGCGCGCGUAGGCGGUUUGUUAUGUCAGAUGUGAAAGUCCACGGCUCAACCGUGGAAGUGCAUUUGAAACUGGCAAACUUGAGUACUGGAGGGGGUGGUGGAAUUCCCGGUGUAGAGGUGAAAUUCGUAGGUAUCGGGAGGAAUACCGGUGGCGAAGGCGACCACCUGGCCAGAUACUGACGCUGAGGUGCGAAAGCGUGGGGAGCAAACAGGAUUAGAAACCCUAGUAGUCC
rnacentral:rRNA from 1 species